UCGGGAAUUUUGGGCAAUGGGCGAAAGCCUGACCCAGCAACGCCGCGUGAGGGAUGAAGGCCUUCGGGUCGUAAACCUCUGUCAGGAGGGAAGAAUUCGUUCUCGAUUAACACGCGAGAGCGUUGACGGUACCUCCAAAGGAAGCGCCGGCUAACUCCGUGCCAGCAGCCGCGGUAAUACGGAGGGCGCAAGCGUUGCUCGGAAUUACUGGGCGUAAAGCGCGUGCAGGCGGUCGAGUAAGUCGGUUGUGAAAUCCCCAGGCUCAACCUGGGAACCGCAUCCGAAACUGCUCGGCUAGAGUCCCGGAGAGGGAGGCGGAACUCCCAGUGUAGGGGUGAAAUCCGUAGAUAUUGGGAAGAACACCGGCGGCGAAAGCGGCCUCCUGGACGGUGACUGACGCUGAGACGCGAAAGCGUGGGGAGCAAACAGGAUUAGAUACCCUGGUAGUCCACGCUGUAAACGUUGCGCACUAGGUGUCGGGAGAUUCACCCUCUCGGUGCCGACGCUAACGCAUUAAG
rnacentral:rRNA from 1 species